rnacentral:lncRNA from 1 species
AGGAGGCGGGAAAGGGCUCGCCCAGGCUGGUGGGGGCCGCCGCUCCCUCCCGAACCCCCUCUCCCAACGCAGCCUCUUCCUUCCUGUAUUUACAGCAGCAUUCGGCUUAUUUACAGCACAGCGGUGUGUGUUAAAAACGGUUUAUCUUACAAAAACAUGAAGGCCGGGGCUGGGCUAGGGGGUAAGACAAAUAGUAGGGGUCACCCCCGUGAGUGCAUCCCCCUCCCCCAGGGCGUCAGCUCCCUGCCAACCACCCAGAGCGAGUGGGGAGGCUGGCCAGUCUGCAGCUCAAGGCCAGGCCAGGGUGGGGGUGCUCCGAGGGUCCGUGGGCUAAAGGCACGUGGGGUGGCGUAGGAGGGUGCACGCACGGUGCACGCGUGUUCCUGGGCUGGGGUCAGAAGGGCAGCGUGUCCAUAAAGAUCUUGUCGACGAUAGGUGGAGGGGGCACCAGGUCCUCCAGCUUGAGGUAGAAGAUGCGUUGCAGGCCCUGGGUGCACAGGGUCCGAAGCUCGGGCAGCUUGCCCAGCAGGCGUGACAGGCAGCUGGCUGGCUGGGGCUCCCCCGCCACGGCCGAGACGUGCUCCUUCAGGCAGCUGGCAAUGCGGUUCUGAAGUUCCUCCACCCGCCGGGGCUCCUGCAGCCCGUGCCGGUCUGCGAGGAAGGCGAAGGCUUAGGGAUUAGCUGUCCAUCCAAGGCGCAGAGCCCUGCCCCGAGCCCCAGCCUCCCCCACUUGCCCCCUGCUCUAGACCUGUCGCCACUGACCAUCCCCCACACUCUGCUGGCACCUUGCAAAAGCAAGUUCACGCGCGAGCCCCAUUGGAAGUCUAGUGGUAGCCUCAGGAAUACUCAUUAUCCUCAUCUUCCAAAUGACAAACUGAGGCCCAGAGAGGUUAA